AGUGGGGAAUUUUGGACAAUGGGGGCAACCCUGAUCCAGCAAUGCCGCGUGUGUGAAGAAGGCCUUCGGGUUGUAAAGCACUUUUGUCCGGAAAGAAAACGCCGUGGUUAAUACCCGUGGCGGAUGACGGUACCGGAAGAAUAAGCACCGGCUAACUACGUGCCAGCAGCCGCGGUAAUACGUAGGGUGCAAGCGUUAAUCGGAAUUACUGGGCGUAAAGCGUGCGCAGGCGGUCCGCUAAGACAGAUGUGAAAUCCCCGGGCUUAACCUGGGAACUGCAUUUGUGACUGGCGGGCUAGAGUAUGGCAGAGGGGGGUAGAAUUCCACGUGUAGCAGUGAAAUGCGUAGAGAUGUGGAGGAAUACCGAUGGCGAAGGCAGCCCCCUGGGCCAAUACUGACGCUCAUGCACGAAAGCGUGGGGAGCAAACAGGAUUAGAUACCCUGGUAGUCCACGCCCUAAACGAUGUCAACUAGUUGUCGGGUCUUCUUUGACUUGGUAACGUAGCUAACGCGUGAAGUUGACCGCCUGGGGAGUACGGUCGCAAGAUUA
rnacentral:rRNA from 1 species